rnacentral:sRNA from 1 species
UCGUCUACAACAGCUGUAAUAGCUUCAGA